CAGGAUUGGACGGAUCCUUCUUUGGACUCCAGGGUCUCUGCGACCUCUGACCUCUGGUCUUCCGUCCUCAGAGGUGGAUGGACGGGGGCUUCACCGACAGCCUUCCCAUCCUGCCCGUGGGUCGUACCAUCACCGUGUCCCCCUUUGCCGGCCUGCAGGACGUGUGUCCCGUCCACGGGGGGCUCCUGGACGUGCAGCUCAGACUGGCCAACAUGAGCAUCAUGCUGUCCCUGGAGAACGUGAGGCGUCUGACCCGGGCCCUGUUCCCGCCGCCCCCCAGCACCAUGCACUUCCUGUGGGAGGAGGGGUUCGGAGACGCCGUCCGCUUCCUUCAGAGGGAGGGAUUCAUGGAGGCCUGAAGGCCCCGCCCCCUAUGUGGGGGGGCAGGUUCCCAGCUGCUCGGACCGUGACAGAGAUGGUCAGAGGAGGUAGAACCUGCAUGGAGGUCUGCAGAGAGCAUGCUGGGACCGUCCUGAACACUGAGGAGGACGCUCCAGACCAGCGUCUGGACUCUAGUCGGCCUCACAGCAGCAGGAAGAGGGAGAAGCCGGCUGCUUUGGACGACCACUGCCCUGUUUGAGGGGACAGUGGGUUGCAGUGGUCGCUCUUGUAGAAAGUUUGUGGAUGCUGGUAUGCCACAGGAUUUUUGUCCAGGAGAAAGUGUGCCGUGGCUCCAAAAGGCUGAAAAACACAGAUUUCAGUCUUCUCUGUGGCGUGUCGCCUGCAGGAUGCCUGUAGAGAAAAAUGUUCUCUCUACGGGUUGACUGAGCGGUCUGUCACCCUGAUGUUCUGGACAGGUUUGACCAUUGUCACCUGCUGACAGCCUGGACCCACCGUGAGGACAGCCCUAAGGCUUUCAUUACCGGAUUUUCCACACUAUGAAAAGCUGUCAUUUUUCAAAAUAAAAGACAUUGCGCUAUAAUAAUUCUUAGCGUGUUAUACACCGAUAAAUUAUGCACAAGUAAAUAUAUUGCGCUCCAUCAAAAGGUCAGUCUGUUUUUUACGUAUCACAAACAAGGUUAAAUGUUAUUGUAACAUUUAACCCUCCUAUAGUUGUGUCCAGAUUGGAUGCCACAGUGUCUGGAGACCUGAUUGGCUGUGGACUUCCAGCUUAGCUUUAAAAACUGCCACAUCAUCUGUUGGUGCCUCCCCCUUCCACCAGCUGGCAGCAGCAGAGUGAUUGGUAGAUUGUUAGAGGUUUGGUCCUUGUAUUUUGGUGGUUUUUGUAUAGUUUUUGUUUGUUUCUCAUUGUAAAUACAUUCACAGCUUAGUUUCAGUCUGGGUCUUGUGAGAGUUGUGGAGUCGUUCUUCCUUUUUACCUUUAUGUUACAUCCUUUUACAAACCCCUAGACGGGGGGGGGGGGUAACAAUAGUUUGUCCAUGCAGACUCAUGAAAUCAUUUGUCCAUUCUCUUUAUUGUGUUUCUGAUGGUUCUCCUGCUUCCAGACAGACGGAUUUUCACAUUGGAGCAUCGAACCAGUCACAUUCCAGUUUUCCUCUGUUACCAGGCAGGAUAAGGGUAUUCACCAUGAGCUGUGAAGGCCUCCUAAUGCGACAUAAAUGUUGGUCAUUCAUUUCCCUCAACCAAUCAGAUUGUAGCACAACUGAAGGCCCAGGUGUGUAAAGCAUGCUCCCCCACUGGCUUAGUGACAUUAACGUAAGUUUUAGUGUUAUCAGUUUGUUGUAACUAAGGUUUUAUUGUAAAUAAGCUAAUACGGCUAACGUGUUGGACUGUAUGCUUUGCAUUAGGUGUUUCUAGAGGGUUGGGAGCUAGCAUAGUCACAGUAAAGUUGGUUUUAGCAGUAUCAGUCUGUUUUUGUUUUUCAAAUUCAAAGGGUUUAUUAUCAUAAUGCACAGUAAAGUAACAGGUUUCCUGUACAAUUAAAUUCUGACAUUGCUGUCUGCUCCGAAUGCCAAGAGCUAAGUAAUUAUAGGCCGUCAGUCUGGGAAGGUCUGUGGCCACUUACACCCUUCGUCCAUAAGUGGCCGGGAUAGACUCCGGCAACCCUGUGACCCCGGAAAGGAUAAAACGGAAAAGAAGAUGAAUGAGUCUGUGCAAAGGUGCAGCUUGUUAUUCCGGACCCCUGUCAGCUGUUAACCCUUGUGCUGUCCUAUGUUACCAUUGGGAGUUGGGUCAUCCAGACCCACUAGACAGUGCUCUGAACCUUUUUUCUUCAAUGAUUUGUGAUCUCACUGGUGUCCAUUGAUUACAUGAAAUCUUUCCACCUUUAUCCACCUUUGUCAUGGUAGGGAGAACACGUCAAUGUAAGGGUGGGGUCAUCUAAGAUAGCACAAGGGUUAAAGGAACAAUCAUAUUGACAAAAGCAGAAGAGAGGUUUGACAAAGUAUCUAGGGAUAUGUAGAUGUACUGACCUCUUCACUAAUUUCUUUUGGCAUUUCUCCCAGGUAGUUGACAUCCAUUGGUUCCAUGGAGUACCACACCAGAUCAACAGAUUUUGCGUCUGAGAGAAAUUUAGAGAUGUAUUUCUUGAAACGUUUUAUUGGACACAGAGGAUCCCCGGGUCUUGCAAACAUAAAACCUCUUAGGUUUUACUUGUUUGAGUCCUUUGGAAUUUUGUGGUUUUUAGUGUCUGAAUUAUGCGACUGGAUGAGGUAUUGAGCGCCUUCCUCGUCUCUGUGGAUGCUAAAAGAUGCCAUGGUCAGCUCACGGCACCCCUCCCUCCCAUGUCCAGACAAACAGAGGUGGAUGUCAAACCACACCUUUCUGACGAGGCCAAGGGGCGUGUCAGGAGACACCGCAGAUAAGCAUCUUUUUUUCUCAAGGUCCGACUCAGGAAUAGGAGGAUGGUGGGAGCUGGUGUCUUUCCCACUCUUUCUGUAGCGCUUCAUUAUUGUCCUAGAAACCGCAUUGCCCCUCUUGAAUAAGGUGUCGCUGAUGAUGUUGACGUCUCUUACGUAAUGAUUGAGGCCGGCUCUCAAGCUCCUCAGACUGGCAACACUGUACUCUCCUCCUUCCUUAGUUGACUGAAGAGACGCUUAAAAAAGCUGCAGACUCUCAUUGAGAGUGGCGGCAGUGUCAUUUUUAAAGUUGAUGUCCAUGUUUCUUUGAGCCAGGAAGUCUCUAAAUGUAUGAACUGCCCAUUUCGUGAUUUUCUUUUUGUCUUUUCUGCCUCUGUCUCAUUUUUGUCAAUUUAAAAGUGAUUUCUGUCUGUCGUGGGUGUGGCCAAUCCAGAGAAGACAUGUUUUAUUCAGCAGAUGCAUUCUGAGCAAAACUAUAAAUAAAUCCUUUGCUGGUGACGGAAAUAAACCCAUCUGUGGGUGUUAGCCUUCAACCUCCCCGUGAAGAAGGAAAUGGGCGUGAACGUCAGUCAGGUCUGGAGUUGUAGCACACAUUUAUUUCAAAUAAAAAAAACUGAAGACCAAUAAAACUAUGUUUUACAUUCUUGUUCCCAUCAGUCACUUAUGUUACAGGAGUUUAGAUUAUCAUUUCAUGUUGUUAGCACUGUGUUAAAAAACUGAUCAAAUUAUUGACAAAAACAGUAAAGAAAACAAAUCUCUGAAGCAGCAAAUUAAAACUUUACAUAGUUACCAUAAGCUGCUUUAAACAUCCAUGUAGAUUUAUUUAUACUUAAUCCAUAAGUAGAAAUGGUAGCAGAAAGAGAGUGCUCAUUGAUCAUCAGAGAAGACUGUUACAUGUUUGUAGAAAUCUUUUUUCUGUCUUAUUCACACAUCCUCCACUGCCAAACACUGGCACCAACGGACAAUCAUCAGGAGCAACGUGGGCUUCAGUGCCUUGCCCAAGGACACGUGUGUAACCCCUAUCUGCCUCAGAGCUCGUCUCAGGGAGUCAUGAAGGGGGUUCAGGGAGGACCCAGGUGAACAAGGUCUUUAAUCCAAAAACUAAAACCAGAAUCCUCUGCUGAGCAGAACUGGAAACAGGAGAACAGCACAAUAUGGAGCAGCACAGGAAGGGAAGGACAGGACUGAAUACACACAAACGGACACAGGGGACAACAAUGAGGGCAAAUGGGGAAACUCAAUACUAGUGCUAGAAUGUGUGAAUAAAAGAUGGAGACGAGGUUAACAGAAAAUUUGUAUUUGGAAACGGUAGAAAUGGGGACACAUACUGUAUGAUUUGGUUAUCAAACCCAUCAUCCAUCCCUCCAUCCAUGCAUCCAUCCAUCAAUCUAUGCAUCCAUCCAUGCAUCCAUCCAUUCAUCGAUAC
rnacentral:lncRNA from 1 species